rnacentral:rRNA from 1 species
UCCGGUGUCGAUGCGCUUAGGGGAAACACCCGUUCCCAUCCCGAACACGACGGUUAAGACCUAAGCGGCCGAUGGUACUGCAUUGGAGACGAUGUGGGAGAGCAGGUGGGCGCCGGAU